UUUAGGGGGAUGAGCGCGCUUUUUGAAAUUUGAUUAGGCGCUCUGCCUGCUGCUGUUCACGAAUUAUCCUGCUCUACACAAUUUGACAAGAACACCCAUAGCCAGGUAACUACACUCUCGUCCUCUGGCUCUGGUCUCUCCACCGCGAAGGCGCGAACCUUUCUCCUCCAUUGUGUCUUCCUUUCCUCAAGGUGACCGUUUAUCCUCAAAUCUCAAACUCCUGCUGUGCAAACAUGUCAAAGAAGAGAGGGCUUUCACUUGAAGAGAAACGUGAGAAGAUGCUUCAGAUUUUUUAUGACUCGCAAGAUUUCUUCCUCCUCAAGGAGCUUGAGAAGAUGGGGCCAAAGAAAGGUGUCAUCAGUCAGUCGGUGAAGGAUGUUGUUCAAAGUCUCGUUGAUGACGACCUUGUAUUAAAGGAUAAGAUUGGAAGUUCUAUAUACUUCUGGAGCCUUCCUAGCACAGCUGGAAAUCAGCUAAGGAAUGUCUCUCGCAAACUAGAAUCUGAUCUUCAUGCCAGCAAAAAACGUUAUGCCGAACUUGUGGAACAGUUUGAUUCUUUGAAGAAGGGACGUGAAGAAUCUGAUGAAAGAGCGGAGGCUUUAAGCGAGUUAAAUGCUGUUGAACUGAAGCACAAAGAACUGAAGGAGGAACUGGCACAAUAUGCAGAUAAUGAUCCUGCUGCUCUCGAGACUAUGAAAAAAGCUAUAGAAGUUUCGUAUUCAGCUGCCAACAGAUGGACAGAUAACAUAUUCACUUUGCAGCAGUGGUGUACAAAAAAUUUCCCACAAGCUAGAGAACAGCUUGAACAGAUGUACCAGGAGGCUGGAAUAACAGAUGAUUUUGAUUAUGUGGAGUUGCCAAAUCUUGCUUCACUUGGGAACCCAGACAACUAGUUACAAGGUAUUGUUUGACUCUGUUGCUUGCUCAAAAGCCUUGGACUCGAAAGAUAUUUGGAUUUUAUAUCUGUUUCUGUUCGUGGAUGGGAGAUUUUUUCUAGGACGAGGGGGUUGAUGGUGAUUGCAGGCUAUAGAGACUUCUUGUGCUGAAUUGCAGAACACGAUAGAAUGUAGCAAGUAUAUGCUGGCGUUGGAGAUUGACAGUUUUCUGUAAAUUCUUACCUGUCCCCUUUAUCUUUUACAAACAUUGUUUAGCUUGUGGAUCAUUGUUGUUCCUUUAGCAAACAAAUUGACAAUGGUGACAAUUUUUAUUUCUACUUGUGAUAAUCUCAUGAAAGUUCAUGAGAUAUGGGGUUGAAUAGUAUUUUAUGAAGUUCUUGUAAAUUGGCAAUAUUGACUGUGUAAAUUGACCUUUCUGUUGGGGAAGUUAGAUGUUCUUCCCAAUUACUGUAAUCAAUAUACAACCACUAAUGUUGAUAGUGGUUAUACACUUAGAACUGUAAACAUGGUCAUCGGUUUUUCUUGUUACAUUUAAAAGUUGCAUGCUAGAAUGAGGUACAAUGGUCAAGAUUAUUAGUGGUUUUAGGCUGAAGUGUUAAUAUUAUCAGCAAUUCUAACUUUGUUAUUUUUUAAAGUACCCAUUAUUUAUAGACAGUAU